rnacentral:SRP_RNA from 2 species
GCCGGGCGUCGUGGCGGAUGCCUGUAGUCCCAGCUACAUUGGGAGGCUGAGGCAGGAGAAUGGCGUGAACUCGGGAGGCAGAGCUUGCAGUGAGUGGAGAUCGCGCCACUCCAGGCUGGGCGACAGAGCAAGACUCUGUCUCAAAAAAAAAAAAAAAAUACAGAUUUCUAGUCUUUUUUGUUGUUGUUGAGACAGAGUCUCGCCCUUUCACCCAGGCUGGAGUGCAAUGGCACAGUCUCGGCUCACUGCAACCUCCACCUCCUGGGUUCAAGUGAUUCUCCUGCCUCAG